rnacentral:rRNA from 1 species
CAGUAGCCGCGGGAAUACAGAGGGUGCAAGCGUUAAUCGGAAUUACUGGGCGUAAAGCGCGCGUAGGUGGUUUGUUAAGUUGGAUGUGAAAUCCCCGGGCUCAACCUGGGAACUGCAUUCAAAACUGACUGACUAGAGUAUGGUAGAGGGUGGUGGAAUUUCCUGUGUAGCGGUGAAAUGCGUAGAUAUAGGAAGGAACACCAGUGGCGAAGGCGACCACCUGGACUAAUACUGACACUGAGGUGCGAAAGCGUGGGGAGCAAACAGGGUUAGAUACCCCUGUAGUCCCUGUCUCUUAUAU